rnacentral:rRNA from 1 species
UACGUAGGGUCCGAGCGUUGUCCGGAAUUACUGGGCGUAAAGAGCUCGUAGGUGGUUUGUCGCGUUGUUCGUGAAAACUCACAGCUCAACUGUGGGCGUGCGGGCGUGACGGGCAGACUGGAGUACUGCAGGGGAGACUGGAAUUCCUGGUGUAGCGGUGGAAUGCGCAGAUAUCAGGAGGAACACCGGUGGCGAAGGCGGGUCUCUGGGCAGUAACUGACGCUGAGGAGCGAAAGCGUGGGGAGCGAACAGG